GCCCUUUUUUGGCUGGAAUUCAAGAACACACACUUCUUGUUGGUUGUAUGUACUCGUGAACAAGUUGAGGACCUUGAUACAUUGGUUGGACUGUUUCUUUGCUAAAGCACUGAGGGAAUGAUCGAGA